GGUGGGGUGGCUGAAUAUUUAGGCAAUAAACUGUAAAUUUAUUUAUGAAAUUAAAUUUCCCCCACCA
rnacentral:tRNA from 1 species